rnacentral:rRNA from 1 species
UUCAACCUCACCCUUCCUUGUUCUCUCCGCCUAUAUACCGCCGUCGUCAGCUUACCCUAUGAAGGCCCUUCAGUAAGCACAAUUGGUACAACCCAAAACGUCAGGUCGAGGUGUAGCGUAUGGAAAGGGAAGAAAUGGGCUACAUUCCCUGUUACAGUGAAUUACGAAUAAUACUACUGAAACGUAUAUCUAGAAGGAGGAUUUAGCAGUAAGCAGAAAAUAGAGCGUUCUACUGAAACCGGCCCUGAAGCGCGCACACACCGCCCGUCACUCUCCCUAAAUAUAUUCUAACACCUUAACUUAAAACCUUUCACCAACAAAGGGGAGGCAAGUCGUAACAUGGUAAGUGUACCGGAAGGUGCACUUGGCAAAAC